GUGAGGAAUUUUCCGCAAUGGGCGAAAGCCUGACGGAGCAAUGCCGCGUGAAGGAUGAAGGCCUAUGGGUUGUAAACUUCUUUUCUCAGAAAAGAAUUAUGACGGUAUAUGAGGAAUAAGCAUCGGCUAACUCUGUGCCAGCAGCCGCGGUAAGACAGAGGAUGCAAGCGUUAUCAGGAAUGAUUGGGCGUAAAGCGUCUGUAGGUUGUUUAAAAAGUAUUCUGUCAAAGAUUAGGGCUUAACCCUAGAUAGGCAGAAUAAACUUUUAAGCUAGAGUUUGGUAGAGGCAGAGGGAAUGCCCGGUGGAGCGGUGAAAUGCGUAGAUAUCGGGAGGAACACCAAAGGCGAAGGCUCUCUGCUGGGCCAAUACUAACACUGAGAGACGAAAGCGAGGGGAGCAAAUGGGAUUAGAUACCCUAGUAGUCC
rnacentral:rRNA from 1 species